AAAUUGAAGAGUUUGAUCAUGGCUCAGAUUGAACGCUGGCGGCAGGCCUAACACAUGCAAGUCGAGCGGUAGCACAGAAGAGCUUGCUCUUCGGGUGACGAGCGGCGGACGGGUGAGUAAUGUCUGGGAAACUGCCUGAUGGAGGGGGAUAACUACUGGAAACGGUAGCUAAUACCGCAUAACGUCUUCGGACCAAAGAGGGGGACCUUCGGGCCUCUUGCCAUCGGAUGUGCCCAGAUGGGAUUAGCUAGUAGGUGAGGUAAUGGCUCACCUAGGCGACGAUCCCUAGCUGGUCUGAGAGGAUGACCAGCCACACUGGAACUGAGACACGGUCCAGACUCCUACGGGAGGCAGCAGUGGGGAAUAUUGCACAAUGGGCGCAAGCCUGAUGCAGCCAUGCCGCGUGUGUGAAGAAGGCCUUCGGGUUGUAAAGCACUUUCAGCGGGGAGGAAGGCGAUAAGGUUAAUAACCUUGUCGAUUGACGUUACCCGCAGAAGAAGCACCGGCUAACUCCGUGCCAGCAGCCGCGGUAAUACGGAGGGUGCAAGCGUUAAUCGGAAUGACUGGGCGUAAAGCGCACGCAGGCGGUCUGUUAAGUUGGAUGUGAAAUCCCCGGGCUUAACCUGGGAACUGCAUUCAAAACUGACAGGCUAGAGUCUUGUAGAGGGGGGUAGAAUUCCAGGUGUAGCGGUGAAAUGCGUAGAGAUCUGGAGGAAUACCGGUGGCGAAGGCGGCCCCCUGGACAAAGACUGACGCUCAGGUGCGAAAGCGUGGGGAGCAAACAGGAUUAGAUACCCUGGUAGUCCACGCUGUAACCGCUGUCGACUUGGAGGUUGUGCCCGUGAGGCGUGGCCUGCGGAGCUAACGCGUUAAGUCGCGCGGCUGGGGAGUACGGCCGCAAGGUUAAAACUCAAAUGAAUUGACGGGGGCCCGCACAAGCGGUGGAGCAUGUGGUUUAAUUCGAUGCAACGCGAAGAACCUUACCUACUCUUGACAUCCACAGAAUUUGGUAGAGAUACCUUAGUGCCUUCGGGAACUGUGAGACAGGUGCUGCAUGGCUGUCGUCAGCUCGUGUUGUGAAAUGUUGGGUUAAGUCCCGCAACGAGCGCAACCCUUAUCCUUUGUUGCCAGCGAGUAAUGUCGGGAACUCAAAGGAGACUGCCGGUGAUAAACCGGAGGAAGGUGGGGAUGACGUCAAGUCAUCAUGGCCCUUACGAGUAGGGCUACACACGUGCUACAAUGGCGUAUACAAAGAGAAGCGAACUCGCGAGAGCAAGCGGACCUCAUAAAGUACGUCGUAGUCCGGAUUGGAGUCUGCAACUCGACUCCAUGAAGUCGGAAUCGCUAGUAAUCGUAGAUCAGAAUGCUACGGUGAAUACGUUCCCGGGCCUUGUACACACCGCCCGUCACACCAUGGGAGUGGGUUGCAAAAGAAGUAGGUAGCUUAACCUUCGGGAGGGCGCUUACCACUUUGUGAUUCAUGACUGGGGUGAAGUCGUAACAAGGUAACCGUAGGGGAACCUGCGGUUGGAUCACCUCCUUACCAAAAAGA
rnacentral:rRNA from 1 species